CCUACGGGUGGCUGCAGUGAGGAAUAUUGGUCAAUGGGCGGGAGCCUGAACCAGCCAAGUCGCGUGCAGGAAGAAGGUACUUAGUAUUGUAAACUGCUUUUGUCCGGGGACAAACUCGGAGACGCGUCUCCUGUUGCAGGUACCCGAUGAAAAAGCAUCGGCUAAAUCCGUGCCAGCAGCCGCGGUAAUACGGAGGGUGCGGGCGUUAUCCGGAUUUAUUGGGUUUAAAGGGUGCGCAGGCGGCACCUUAAGUCAGGUGUGAAAUGGCGGGGCUCAACCCCGGCACGGCGGCGGAAACUGGGUGGCUAGAGUGGGAGAGAGGUAGGCGGAAUUCGUGGUGUAGCGGUGAAAUGCAUAGAUAUCACGAAGAACUCCGAUUGCGAAGGCAGCCUACCGUCGCGAUACUGACGCUGAGGCUCGAAGGUGCGGGUAUCGAACAGGAUUAGAUACCCCGGUAGUC
rnacentral:rRNA from 1 species